rnacentral:lncRNA from 1 species
GCAUUUCUUGAGGAGCCUGUGUAGAAGCUGUAAGAAGUAAUUUCUCCAUUUUGUAGAGAGCCAGAGCCUUGGUAGAAGGAAGUGCAAUCCAAGUUAGGGGGGUAAUCUGCUUCUGGUCUGUUUCUGCCUUUUAAAUCUAGUUUGCCUGAAGCUUUGCUGCUUAAAUUUCUGUCACAUCGGAUAGACUUUUAUUUUAACUACUAAUUUUAACUUAACCUCCAAGUCUUCACAUUUUGUAUUUCAUAUUCUGGUUCCUUGGUAUUUUGUCGGUAAUCAAGAUUUCAUGGAGGGCCUGGGUACACUUAAUGCCGUCCAAGGAUAACAGGAAAUUCUCUUUAUAUCAAGAAGUAGUUGGCAAGAAAACACAAAAGGAACAACUAUAGCAGAGGUUUACUUUGUAUUUUGUUGUGUGGGUUAAUGAUCUGAGGGCGACUGAAGAGAAUCAUAAUAGAGUACUCUUUUACAAUGAAGCACUCAGUAUAUCAAUUCAGGGUCUGCCUCAAAGCAGUCACAGACUGUACACCUGGGUGGGGGCAGGAGAGGUUCUCUAAGGGAGGACAACGGUCUGAAUAAAGACACAGAGGUGAGGAUGAAAUGGGCAGCCCCCAGAUUCUGUUUGUACAGAAGUGGUAGUGUGUGUGUGUGUGUGUGUGUGUGUGUGUGUGUGUGAGAGAGAGAGAGAGAGAGAGAGAGAGAGAGAGAGAGAGAGAGAGAGAGAGGUAGUGGGAAGAGGUAGGUCAGAAGAUGAACCAGUGCCCAACUAAUGAGAAGUCCAAAAAGCCAAAAAGGAACUGAAUCCUGGCAAAACCAAACCAAACCAAACCCAACCAACCAACCAACCAACUAACCAACCAACCAAACAAAGUCAUGAGUCCAAGACGGAAACAUUGUAAAAUAAUUAUCACUUUUGAGCCCAGGAUCUGAAACCAGGGAAAGCCAGGGCUCCAGUCUUCUCUGUACCAUUUUCAAGACACGUGAACUUGCGCUGGUUAGUGAGUCUUUUAGAGCCCUGAUUCUCACGUUUAUUAUAUGAGGGGAGCCGACUUUCCAGUCCAUGCACACCAUUAAGUUCCUACAGCUGUACUGGUGUGGGGAAAGGAGUGUGUGUCAGGUGGGGCUUAGGUGGAGUGUGUGUGUGUGUGUGUGUGUGUGUGUGUGUGUGUGUGUGUGUGUGUGUGUGAUGGCUCCUGAAAAUGACUGGAAGAAAUGAACAACAGAGAUGCAGAGAGUCUAACCUAUCAGCAGCUGGUUUGUGGGGUUAGAAAAAUGCUAAUUUCUUUCUCUGAGGCUGCAUCUCCGUACCUCCACUUCACUGUACAACACCACUUAUUGCUGCUUUCUUUCUUACCAUGCUUGCUUUUGGAAAAGAAUUGAGUUUGUCCUUACACAACCCAAGAAAGCAAAAUCUGAGGGCUUAGCUACCCUAGAAGCCCUUGCUGUCUGUUGCACUCUCCCCUUGCUAACUCCCCUCUUAUGCACCCUUCUGUUGACAACACUUCAUAGUGGUGUGCGUCCCUGUGUUCUGCAGAAGAGGACCUUUGCUGGCCUGAAUGUGAAGGGUUUUGUUUCCCACUCAGAAGAAUUCUUGAGAGUUUUAUAGCCACAAAGUGAUGAUUAUGUUUGAGACUUUUGCUUUUGUUUUGUUUUUAACAUUUAGUAUGAGGUUGGCUGUCAGUUCUAGCCAAAUCAACCACACAUGAAAAAGAAAUAAAAGGUAUGUCAAUUAGGAAAAAAGAAACGCUGUGUUUCCAGGAAGCUGGAGAGAUAUCUCAGUGGUUAAGCACGCAUACUGUCUUCUCGAAGACCAGAGUUUGAUUCUCACUUAUCCACAUCAGGAAGCUCACAAAUGCUGCUACCUCAAGCUCCAAACCUCCUCAUCCAUACCUGUGGGAU